rnacentral:rRNA from 1 species
ACGAACGCUGGCGGCGUGCCUAAUACAUGCAAGUCGAACGGUCUUUCUAUGGAAGCUUGCUUCCACUGAGAAGAUAGUGGCGAACGGGUGAGUAACACGUGGGUAACCUGCCCAUAAGAGGGGGAUAACAUCCGGAAACGGGUGCUAAUACUGCAUAGUUUUCUUGAUCGCAUGAUUGAGAAAGGAAAGACGGCCUUUGUGCUGUCGCUUAUGGAUGGACCCGCGGCGUAUUAGUUAGUUGGUGAGGUAACGGCUCACCAAGACGAUGAUACGUAGCCGACCUGAGAGGGUGAUCGGCCACAUUGGGACUGAGACACGGCCCAAACUCCUACGGGAGGCAGCAGUAGGGAAUCUUCCGCAAUGGACGAAAGUCUGACGGAGCAACGCCGCGUGAGUGAAGAAGGUUUUCGGAAUCGUAAAACUCUGUUGUCAGAGAAGAACAAGUUGGAGAGUAACUGCUCCAGCCUUGACGGUAUCUGACCAGAAAGCCACGGCUAACUACGUGCCAGCAGCAGC